rnacentral:tRNA from 1 species
UCCCCGAUAGCUCAGUUGGUAGAGCACCUGACUGUUAAUCAGGUUGUCGCUGGUUCGAGCCCAGCUCGGGGAG